rnacentral:lncRNA from 1 species
AGUGGACACUAACUGCAUCUUAAGUCAGCAGGCACAAAUAGAUCAAGCUUAAUUAAGAGGAACAGAACAUCUUGGCAGGUUUGCUUUACUACUGGUACUGUUAUAAUUUAAUGAUCUAUGCAUAUGGAAAUGUGUGUAUUCCUGCACUUCUAGUAUAACUUACAGUUCUGCAAGAGCAUCCUGCAUACUAAACAAGUGAAACAUAUUCAGAGUAGAGUAUUAUUUUUUCAUUAUUCCCACAAAGGGCUGAUUAUAAGCAAUUGCAGAGUGAUAAUGCUCAAAGCAGAAUAGCUGUGGGCUGAACAGUAUUCAGAGCAGUACAGCUUUCAGAAAUUUAGUUAUUUCUUGCGUUUUCAAACUAGCAUCACUAGUUCCCUGCUCAAAGUAACGGGAUAAAGUCAAGUGUAGUUUUCCAACAACACAUUAUUACAUGGAAAUGUGCUGGAAGAAAACUGAGGUUAUACUGCUGAGAACAUGUUCUACUUUACAGAGCCAUUCUCUGGGCAAUGCUGCAUAAUUUAAGAGUGGGUAAAUAUGCCUUCAGGGACAACAGAACACAGAACAGAUGUUUGAAAAAAACAAACAAACAAACAAAAAAACAACCCAGAAGAAGCCUUGAAGCUUUGUCCACUCAUGCACUUACUCUUCCCUGGAAAAAUGUACAGGUACAUUCAGAUGUGUUAGUGAGUUAUAGAUCAGAUAUCACAAAGGCCUUUAAGGGUGAAUGUUUUAAAGGCAGUCUCCUUUGGACAGAAAAUAAAGGAAGUUGUCUCUGUCUUCCAGUUCCGAAGUACAGCAUCGUAUUUCUGAUCCUAACCCUAAAUCAAUAAUUAUUGAUCAAACUGACUAAGCUUUUUAGGUUGAUGAGCUCUCUACAAAGCAUUUCUGUUCUCCUCUUGAGCCUCUGCAGGGGCCAACAACUGGUGCUUAACUACUACUUCUACUGCAGAAGGUCACCUGUCCUCCAGCUGUCUCAGAACCUUCUGGGACACUUGCACUUCUAAGAGAGCAACACUGCUAUGGGGGUAAUUCUCAAAAGUGCUAAAUACAGUGGAGCAAAUCCCCGUGGGCUGUACACUUUCUUAAGUCCUGCCCAGGUCUUAGUGGCAAAGUUGAGCAUGAAACCUGUACUGCCAAAAAUACCUGCCCCUUAAGAAGAAAGACAUCUGAAGGUGACUUUGAGGAAAGGAUGAUGUCUUCCACAUUCAACUCAUAAGCUUAAAAACAAACAAACAAAAGCAAGGAAAAAAAAAAAAGCUGCGCUUCCACUAAAAAUCACCACCACUCUUAUCAAUUCAAACAACCGCUGUUAAUUCGGGCUAAAAUAUCUCCCCUGUGUAGCCCAAACUACCACCAUCACCAUCUGAAGAAUUUUUAAACAAAGACUCACCUGGAGACAGAUCUCUGCUAAGAGAGUACAUACUGCAAGGAAGACAGGUAAUCUGGCAAUGCAGUAUGAUGUUACUUUUCUAAUGACAAUUACUCCAGGACAAGGAAAAGACUGAGGCAGGGCUUUGGGGCAGUGUUUCAUGCUCAGCAAGCUUGCAGAGGGAAGGAAUGCAAUUCUAUGAAUCACUUGUACUGUAUUUCUGUUUCUAGACUUGAAUGAAUUUCACUUUUCCUUUGUGGGUCAGCAUAGUAAACAUUAAUGAAAAGGUCUAUUUUUAUAAAUCUCUUUCACCAGUUGAGAGGGCUGACCUGCAGCCACCAGAUAGACUUAUUUAUCCAUAGAGGACAGAAUGUUUAUUUUUACACUAAGAUUACUUACAGCAUUGAAUAAAACAAGGCCUUUGAUCUAAAUCUUAAUAGUAUCACCAAAUUGCAGAAGUAUGUAUGGUGGACAGUUCCAUGUUUCUUCCCAGUAAGUCUCUCAAAAGAAGUUACUCAGAAAUAAACUUCCAAAUGAAGUACAAGAGAUCCUUGUGAUCUAACUACAGGAAAUUUACGAACCAGGAGAAAACUCAAUAAAGUGAGCUAGAUCUCACUAGCUAAAAAAACCUGCAAAUGUAAAGUAAAUGGAAUGUUCUUGGGAUAUUGAGUUGCUUCCUCACGUGAUGCUGUACCCGGUACAUCUGGCUUCAUUUGGCUUCUGUGUUGUGGUUUAUAUGCCAGCCACUGUUAUAAAAACUGUACACAACACCUAUAUUUGCACUGUAAUCUUAAUUCAUUUGCCACUGAUUGUAACCCAAUGCUACAGACUUCUCUGUAUAUAAAACCAUAACCAUGUCCCACUUGCUUUCAAUAGCAUACAAUAAAGGCUUAUAUCUCUAUACUU